GCCCUCUCCGGAUAGCACCUGGAGAGUUUUCAGUACCCUUCCAGUUUUGUCUAUGAGAGGGAGAGUCAAGCAGAGGCACACUCAUUCCAUUCCUAGCUUAGGCAGUGGCUGGUGAGUGGAAGACAAUCUACCACAAGU